rnacentral:rRNA from 1 species
CGGACGGGUGAGUAACACGUGGAUAACCUACCUAUAAGACUGGGAUAACUUCGGGAAACCGGAGCUAAUACCGGAUAAUAUAUUGAACCGCAUGGUUCAAUAGUGAAAGACGGUUUUGCUGUCACUUAUAGAUGGAUCCGCGCCGCAUUAGCUAGUUGGUAAGGUAACGGCUUACCAAGGCAACGAUGCGUAGCCGACCUGAGAGGGUGAUCGGCCACACUGGGACUGAGACACGGCCCAG